rnacentral:lncRNA from 1 species
CUCACCCCUUCCUUUCCCCAAGCCAACGUCACGGCUUCCUAUUUGGCCUCAGCUUAGCUUAGCUGACGGCAUUUGGCCUUAGCUUAGGCAAAACAAAGCAAGCGAGACUGCGAAGAAGACCUACUAUUUUUUUUUUUCCCUCCUUUUGAUGAGUGAAGACCUGCCACCGCUAGGUUUUCCAGCCCGCUUAAAUGUUCCUCCCAUAACUCGCCGACG